GACUCGAUAGCUCAAUGUUAUGGGUAGAGCGGUGAUCUAGAAACCCGAAGAUGCGAGUUCGAAUCUCGCUCGAGACA